rnacentral:rRNA from 1 species
UACGGAGGGGGCUAGUGUUGUUCGGAAUUACUGGGCGUAAAGCGCACGUAGGCGGCUUUGUAAGUUAGAGGUGAAAGCCCGGGGCUCAACUCCGGAAUUGCCUUUAAGACUGCAUCGCUAGAAUUGUGGAGAGGUAAGUGGAAUUCCGAGUGUAGAGGUGAAAUUCGUAGAUAUUCGGAAGAACACCAGUGGCGAAGGCGACUUACUGGACACAUAUUGACGCUGAUGCACGAAAGCUAGGGGAGCAAACAGG